UGGGGAAUAUUGCACAAUGGGGGAAACCCUGAUGCAGCAACGCCGCGUGAAGGAAGACGGUUUUCGGAUUGUAAACUUCUGUUCUUAGUGAAGAAUAAUGACGGUAGCUAAGGAGCAAGCCACGGCUAACUACGUGCCAGCAGCCGCGGUAAUACGUAGGUGGCAAGCGUUGUCCGGAAUUACUGGGUGUAAAGGGAGCGCAGGCGGGAGACCAAGUCAGCUGUGAAAACUACGGGCUUAACCUGUAGACUGCAGUUGAAAACUGGUUUUCUUGAGUGAAGUAGAGGUUGGCGGAAUUCCGAGUGUAGCGGUGAAAUGCGUAGAUAUUCGGAGGAACACCGGUGGCGAAGGCGGCCAACUGGGCUUUAACUGACGCUGAGGCUCGAAAGUGUGGGGAGCAAACAGGAUUAGAUACC
rnacentral:rRNA from 1 species